rnacentral:rRNA from 1 species
CCUACGGGAGGCAGCAGUGGGGAAUAUUGGGCAAUGGGCGCAAGCCUGACCCAGCAACGCCGCGUGAAGGAAGAAGGCUUUCGGGUUGUAAACUUCUUUUCUCAGGGACGAAGAAAGUGACGGUACCUGAGGAAUAAGCCACGGCUAACUACGUUCCAGCAGCCGCGGUAAUACGUAGGUGGCAAGCGUUAUCCGGAUUUAUUGGGUGUAAAGGGCGUGUAGGCGGGAGCGCAAGUCAGAUGUGAAAACUCAGGGCUCAACCCUGAGCCUGCAUUUGAAACUGUUUUUCUUGAGUACUGGAGAGGCAGACGGAAUUCCUAGUGUAGCGGUGAAAUGCGUAGAUAUUAGGAGGAACACCAGUGGCGAAGGCGGUCUGCUGGACAGCAACUGACGCUGAGGCGCGAAAGCGUGGGGAGCAAACAGGAUUAGAUACCCGGGUAGUC